ACGAACGCUGGCGGCAUGCCUAACACAUGCAAGUCGAACGAGACCUUCGGGUCUAGUGGCGCACGGGCGCGUAACGCGUGGGAACCUGCCCUUAGGUUCGGAAUAACUCCCCGAAAGGGGUGCUAAUACCGGAUAAUGUCUUCGGACCAAAGAUUUAUCGCCUUUGGAUGGGCCCGCGUUGGAUUAGCUAGUUGGUAGGGUAAAAGCCUACCAAGGCGACGAUCCAUAGCUGGUCUGAGAGGAUGAUCAGCCACACUGGGACUGAGACACGGCCCAGACUCCUACGGGAGGCAGCAGUGGGGAAUAUUGGACAAUGGGCGAAAGCCUGAUCCAGCAAUGCCGCGUGAGUGAUGAAGGCCUUAGGGUUGUAAAGCUCUUUUACCCGGGAUGAUAAUGACAGUACCGGGAGAAUAAGCUCCGGCUAACUCCGUG
rnacentral:rRNA from 1 species